rnacentral:rRNA from 1 species
GGGAAUCUUGGACAAUGGGGGCAACCCUGAUCCAGCGACGCCGCGUGGGUGAUGAAGGCCUUCGGGUUGUAAAGCCCUUUCGCCGGGGACGAUGAUGACGGUACCCGGUGAAGAAGCACCGGCUAACUCCGUGCCAGCAGCCGCGGUAAGACGGAGGGUGCUAGCGUUGUUCGGAAUUACUGGGCGUAAAGGGCGCGUAGGCGGCCUGGGAAGUCGGCUUGUGAAAGCCCGGGGCUCAACCCCGGAGGUGCGGCCGAUACUCCCUGGCUGGAGGCCGGAAGUGGAGGGUGGAAUACCCAGUGUAGAGGUGAAAUUCGUAGAUAUUGGGUGGAGCACCGGUGGCGAAAGCGGCUCUCUGGUCCGGACCUGACGCUGAGGUGCGAAAGCGUGGGGAGCAAAC